UCUUUCCAUUUCCCAAAAAACAAAUGAAUAACACACGCUUCACACACGUCUCUCAUCUUUCUUUUUUCAACAAGCAGCAGCAAAAAAUAACCACAUGCGAAAAUUCUUCAAAAUCCGGCGGAAUUUGAGCUCAACCAUCUCCCUCAAAUCAAUUUGGGAGCAGUCAGUGUGGAAGAUCAUCCCGGUUAACUCGUUAUCCAGUUUGUUGCACUACGAAAGGUUCAGUCAAAACCCAAUAUCGGUUCCUUCGAGCCACAACCUCGUCAAUGGAUCGCCAAAAAAAAAGGGAAGCUAAUAUCUUGGGCCAAAGGCCGAAGCUCGCAGCUACUUAGAAUUUCGAAUGGGGCUAAGAACCCAAGGCUUGUCUCCUCCAAUUUGUUCUAAACUUUGUCUUACUUUUUGUCAUUUACUUCAAUUGUAAUUUAGUUAGUUUGGUUUCAUUAUAAAUCUUAUUCAUUGCUUUUA